rnacentral:misc_RNA from 1 species
CUCUGUGAGUGUUAUCUCUUCUCUUCCUUCUGUUUGGCAGAGCGCAGAUCUCAUUCUCUCCACCUUCAACUACGUAGUUUAUCUUCUGUUUGGCUCCUCACAUCUGCAUACUUUCUCUCGCUUUCAUAAGAGUCUCUCUCUCUGCUUUGGCUUCCGCUCUCCAGAUCUGAUCCUCCAAAUCACUAAGAGUUGGAGAGAAGAGUGAUGCCUUCAAUGGUGCAAAAUGGACCCAGAAACAAUCCUCAAACCCAAAAGCCCCACUCUAACUUCCCCAAUAAACC